ensembl:lincRNA Gm37800 predicted gene, 37800
GGUCACUGAGAUGAGGCCAGGGUGCUGGUCGGCUGGGAAGAAGGUUUGAGAGUCUCAAGCCCUGCAGGCAGAUCAAGUGAUAAACGAACGGGUACCAGCCAACAAAGAGACAUGGCAACUAGCAGGUGUUCCACGUAUAUGCAGGUGCCUGAGGCGGUCAGAGCAAUUCUCUGGAGCUGGAGUUACAGGCAGUUGUGAGCCACUUGGUGUGGGCUCUGGAAACUGAAACCGGGGUCCUCUGGAAGAGCAUCGUGAGCUCUUAGCCUCUGAGUCAUCUCUCCAGCCCCACAAGCAUCGAACAUUAAUUUAACCAAGCAUGGUUCAUCAAAAAUGUAGAGACAGGGGAAGUCUCCAGCAGGAGAUGUGGCCCAGAUCAAAGGUGUGUACCAUCACACCUGGAUCUGGGACUUGCUUUGUCCCAGGCUGACCUUGAACUCAGAGAUCUCCUUGCCUCAGUCUCCUGGGAUUACAGGCAUGUACUACCUUGCCUGGGCCUAAGCUUUUCAUGGCCACUAUGCCUCAAGAUCUACAUGUCAAGAUCCAGGUCAGAAAGUUGUGUCUUCCAGCCUCAAGAUCUGGAUCACAGGUGAGCCCUCCAAUUGUGGAUUAUAGUUCAUUCCAGGUAGAGUCAGGUUGACAACCAGGAAGAGCCACUACACGCCUU